GACAGAGGAUGCAAGCGUUAUCCGGAAUGAUUGGGCGUAAAGCGUCUGUAGGUGGCUUUUUAAGUCUGCCGUCAAAUCCCAGGGCUUAACCCUGGACAGGCGGUGGAAACUACCAAGCUGGAGUACGGCAGGGGCAGAGGGAAUUUCCGGUGGAGCGGUGAAAUGCGUAGAUAUCGGGAAGAACACCCGUGGCGAAGGCGGUUCUCUGGGACGGUACUGACGCUGAGACGCGAAAGCGUGGGGAGCGAACAGG
rnacentral:rRNA from 1 species